GACGGAGGGUGCUAGCGUUGUUCGGAAUUACUGGGCGUAAAGGGCGCGUAGGCGGCCUGGUCAGUCGGAUGUGAAAGCCCGGGGCUCAACCCCGGAACGGCAUCCGAGACGGCCAGGCUGGAGACCGGGAGAGGAGAGUGGAAUAGCCAGUGUAGAGGUGAAAUUCGUAGAUAUUGGCUGGAACACCGGUGGCGAAAGCGGCUCUCUGGCCCCGGUUCUGACGCUGAGGCGCGAAAGCGUGGGGGAGCAA
rnacentral:rRNA from 1 species